GAGUACCAGCACUGAGCUGCUCAGUACAAUGAUGACACACACACUGAUCCACACAGUGAAGUUCCAGCAUUGUACCGGAGCAUCAUGGAUGCAAUCCUUCACAAGAAUGUCCCAGGUCAAUCCAGAAGGACACUGCUGCAUUUCCAUCACCUGAGAAGACUGCCAACAAUGCUAAUGCCAAAGUCAAUGCGCCAAUAAAAAGCUGUUCACUCAGG